rnacentral:rRNA from 1 species
AGUGAACGCUGGCGGUAGGCCUAACACAUGCAAGUCGAACGGCAGCACAGUAAGGGCUUGCUCUUACGGGUGGCGAGUGGCGGACGGGUGAGGAAUACAUCGGAAUCUACUUUUUCGUGGGGGAUAACGUAGGGAAACUUACGCUAAUACCGCAUACGACCUACGGGUGAAAGCAGGGGAUCUUCGGACCUUGCGCGAUUGAAUGAGCCGAUGUCGGAUUAGCUAGUUGGCGGGGUAAAGGCCCACCAAGGCGACGAUCCGUAGCUGGUCUGAGAGGAUGAUCAGCCACACUGGAACUGAGACACGGUCCAGACUCCUACGGGAGGCAGCGGUGGGGAAUAUUGGACAAUGGGCGCAAGCCUGAUCCAGCCAUACCGCGUGGGUGAAGAAGGCCUUCGGGUUGUAAAGCCCUUUUGUUGGGAAAGAAAAGCAGCAGGUUAAUACCCCGCUGUUCUGACGGUACCCAAAGAAUAAGCACCGGCUAACUUCGUG